rnacentral:rRNA from 1 species
GGGGAAUCUUCCGCAAUGGGCGAAAGCCUGACGGAGCAAUACCGCGUGAGGGAAGACUGCCUAUGGGUUGUAAACCUCUUUUUUCAGAGAGGAAUAAAAUGACGUGUACCUGAAGAAUAAGCAUCGGCUAACUCCGUGCCAGCAGCCGCGGUAAGACGGAGGAUGCAAGUGUUAUCCGGAAUCACUGGGCGUAAAGCGUCUGUAGGUGGUUUAAUAAGUCAACUGUUAAAUCUUGAGGCUCAACUUCAAAAUCGCAGUCGAAACUAUUAGACUAGAGUAUAGUAGGGGUAAAGGGAAUUUCCAGUGGAGCGGUGAAAUGCGUAGAUAUUGGAAAGAACACCGAUGGCGAAAGCAUUUUACUGGGCUAUUACUAACACUCAGAGACGAAAGCUAGGGUAGCAAAUGGGAUUAGAUACCCCAGUAGUC